rnacentral:snoRNA from 1 species
GCCCCAUGAUGAGACCAAGGCGAAUAUGAGCUCAUUAAAUAGGAGCUGGGUUUCUCUGGAUGUGACUGGCAGGUAAUCUUGGCUCUGCAGAGGAGCUUUCCUGCACUGCUGUAAGGGCCUGCCUACAUCAACCUGGCUUAACUCUGAUUGCUCCCUCACAGUCAUGGUGGAGCAUAAGAACCAAGCCGACAAUUGUGAGCGUGUGCGAAAUGGUCACGGGGUCACCCAGCUUGAGUCGAGCCAUGAAUUUGUCUCUUUGGUAAUCUGAGGGCU